UACGUAGGUGGCAAGCGUUGUCCGGAUUUAUUGGGCGUAAAGAGCGUGUAGGCGGUCAGGUAGGUCCGUUGUGAAAACUCGAGGCUCAACCUCGAGACGCCGAUGGAAACCAUCUGACUAGAGUCCGGAAGAGGAGAGUGGAAUUCCUGGUGUAGCGGUGAAAUGCGCAGAUAUCAGGAAGAACACCCGUGGCUAAGGCGGCUCUCUAGUACGGUACUGACGCUGAGACGCGAAAGCGUGGGGAGCGAACAGG
rnacentral:rRNA from 1 species